GGUUAAGCGACUAAGCGUACACGGUGGAUGCCCUGGCAGUCAGAGGCGAUGAAGGACGUGCUAAUCUGCGAUAAGCGUCGGUAAGGUGAUAUGAACCGUUAUAACCGGCGAUUUCCGAAUGGGGAAACCCAGUGUGAUUCGUCACACUAUCAUUAACUGAAUCCAUAGGUUAAUGAGGCGAACCGGGGGAACUGAAACAUCUAAGUACCCCGAGGAAAAGAAAUCAACCGAGAUUCCCCCAGUAGCGGCGAGCGAACGGGGAGGAGCCCAGAGCCUGAAUCAGUGUGUGUGUUAGUGGAAGCGUCUGGAAAGGCGCGCGAUACAGGGUGACAGCCCCGUACACAAAAAUGCACAUACUGUGAGCUCGAUGAGUAGGGCGGGACACGUGGUAUCCU
rnacentral:rRNA from 1 species